rnacentral:lncRNA from 1 species
ACAAGGCUAGCUAUUUACCAAUGCUUAUACAAACAUGAUUCAACAGCCAUGGAUUUGCAAACACAGACCAUAGUAUAUUUUUUAUGUACAUAACAUUUCCAUUCUAAGAAUCCACAACAACAUUAUAGGAGGCCGAGGGGCGGUGGUGGGGGAGACAAGGCUGCAACGAUGGAGGUGGCAUACAGUCAGUACAACAAACAAAAGAUCCUACAUAUGAGGAUGAAUAUGUAAUCUAUACAUUAAAUUUACCAAAAGAAAAUCACCUAGAACUAAAAAGGCAGAAAAUUAUUGCUUUUGUUAUAGAUAACUUGUCAUGUUGGUGCUUGAACCGAACAAUACUACUAAUACAUACAGUACAGAGAUGCUCCAGUUUCGGUUGUAUCUAUCAAGCAUCAGUUCUUGUUCAAGGCAAGCUUCAAAGAGAAAAAGAGUGGUGCUGAUUCAUAUGUAUAUAUGUAUAUACAGAAGAUGCAAGUGUCAUCAAGUUCGCUUUAGUCAAAGUAAAAACAAAUGGACACAUACAAAACUGAACCAAGGGUGGUGCUGAUUCAUGUGUAUGUACAGAUUGAGGUGCCAGCCAGUUGGUUUCACUCAAAGUUCAACCAAAAAAAUUGACACAUACAAAUUGAAGAAAAGUGUGGUCCUGAUUCAUAUGUAUGUAUGUACAGGAGAUGCAAGUGCCACCAAGAUAGAUAGUUUCAGUCAAAAGUAAAAAACAAUUGGAUACAUACAAACUGAAGCAAACCGUCGUGCUUUUUCAUGUGUACAUACAAAAGAUGCAAGUGGUAUCCAUAAUUUGGAUAUAGGUAGUACGCUCAUGUGGUGAAUUUUGUGAAUCUAUACUCUGCAUCUACCAAAAGGAUCACCCCCCUCACAUGCAAAUAUAAUUCAGUCCAAUGGCUUUCUUCUCCCCUCACAUGCAUAAGACGAGAGCAGACCAUCUAAACAGGCGGACCAGACCUUCACCUUGGGAGAGAGGCGAGUGCUACCUGUUGCCAUGUCGUCGUCGAGCUCGGGUGGUCCUCCUCCUCCUCCUCGAGCAAGACAAGGUUGUUUCUCCCCUACACUCCAAUGGCCAUCUUCUCCAAGGACAUCUACAAGGCCAGAACACACCAUUGAUGCAAGUGUCACCAAGAUAGUUUCAGUCAAAGUUAAAGCAAAUGUAAAUAUGCAAACUGAACCAAACCGAGGUGCAUGUUCAUAUGUGUGUGUAUGUAGAGAUGCAAGUGCAAUCUGAAUUUUGGGGAACCAAAGCAUGGUUGUUGUCGUUGUUGUUGCUACUUUAGCAGCAACAACAUCCUUGAAACCAAACAAGGGGCAAGUUGUUUUAGCAGCAGCGCAUACUAGUAAUUAGCUAGGACCAUUAUUAUUGAACAACCAUUCGAGGACGGUGGCAGACACAUCAAUCUCAUAAGGCUCUACUGGAGAAACAAAAGCAUAGGAUAUGUGAUGCUGGCAAUCUUAGCACAAGAAGAAAAAAACACAGCCUCUCCGAUAGAAUGGAUGGAUGCAUCAUGCACAAUCAUCGGUUCCAUCAUUGCAGCACUAGUUGAGCAACAAAUCAAAUAUAACAGUAGUUCCAUUCGUUCAGCCAACAAGUUAACAAAAGUUUACUUCCCACUACUAAUUUUGCAACUUGUCAUAAUAAAGAAAACAGAGCUCAAAAUCACAGCAACAAAAGCAGUAGACUGGGAGCCUGGAACCAUGCAAACCAAAUCGCAGAGCAGAAAAAUAACAGUACUACCUGGAGCAAUAAGAAACUCAACGGCCUAGGGCAACAUUUGGAAGGAGACAAGCAAGUACUACAACAGCUAGCUGGGCUGAAUUGAAGAUUAACCAAAAUCAUAUCAAGUAUUUGUUGAGCAUGAUUAUACACGGGAAGGGGAAGGGGUUCACGGCAGGGACCUUUAGGUCAUGACCUGGCUUGCAUCUCUCCUCCUCAUGUGCAUUGGUUUGCAUCCAAUCCUUGCAGUCCAAUCCAUGGAAGUCCCUCCCUCC